AUGGAGCGGGAGCGGGGGCCGGCGGCCUCCAGAGCGCGGAGCGCGGCGCGGCGGCCGGGUGUCGGGACGGUGAGUGGCCGGGGGCGCGGGGCCGGCCCCCCUGACGUCAGGAGCGCGGCAGGUGCAGGCGGACGCCAGGCUGGGCGGCGGCGCGAGGGGGCGCCGGCGGGGCCGGGCACGGGCAGGGGCACGAGCGGUGCGCCCCGCGGCCGGCUGCCCCGGGAAACGCGAGGCGAGUGCGCGCCGCCGCCGGCUGCCCCGGCGGGAGGCCUCGGAGGAGGCGGGAGGGAGGCAGGGAGGGAGGCAGGGAGGGCGCGGCAGGUGCCGGGGCGCACGCAGGCGCAGGCCCGCGGGUCGGGGCAGGACGGACGCGCCUCCCCGGGGCGCAGAGAGGCGCCGGGCCUCCACCUGCGGCUGCGGCUGCGGCUGCGGCGGGGCCCGGGAAGGGACGCCAAGCGCACAAGUUUCUCGGGCGUCUGGGCUUUGUCGGCGCCAGCUGCGCCGCAGGCACCUCGGGGGCGGGGGCGGGGGCGGGAGCGGGGGGGCUGCGCCGGCGGGUCCCCAGCCCCGGCCACGCGGGCGGCACCGUCCCUGCGGCAGCGCGGGCACCGGCUCGGUGCGGCGGCCGGAGCGGGCGAGGGAGGACGGGAACCCGGAUGCGCACCGGGGCCUGCGCGGCCUUCCUCGGAGGACGGGAGCCGGCGGCGGCCGGAGCGGGGCAGGGGCAGGGGCAGGGGCAGGGGCAGGGGCAGGCCCGCGGGCAGGGGCGGGCGGCGCGCACGCGCUCGCUGGUGGGCGUGGGCGGCUGAGCCGGCGGCGGCGCUGCCCGGGAGGCGCGGGGGAGCCUCGGUACUUUUCCAGCCGGAGGGACCAGCUCAGCUCCGCGUGGCCCGCCGCCCCUCCCGCUGCCUGCUGCCCCGGUGCCUUCCGUCGCACCGGAACCGGCUGCCGGGCGCCCGGGCUGGGACCCCGCGCCCAGCACAGACCGCGCUGGCGGGUGCAGCGGGGGAGAGGAAGCCUCUGGUUUCCGCAGGUCUGCGUGUGACCCGGGGGCCAGCGCGCUGGCGCGGGAGGAGCUGCUGGAGCACCCAGAAGGCGCUCAGGGCUCCAACAGCGUCCCAGGAGGCCUGGCAACGCGGCGGCAGGUGGCUGCUAUCACUCCCAUUUUACAGUUGA
rnacentral:lncRNA from 1 species